AUUAUUUUUAUUGAUAAAGACU
rnacentral:miRNA from 1 species